rnacentral:tRNA from 1 species
GCCGGAGUAGCUCAGCUGGUUAGAGCGUCGGAAUCAUAAUCCGUAGGUCGGGGGUUCAAGUCCCUCCUCCGGUACCA